rnacentral:tRNA from 1 species
GCUUCUAUGGUGGAAAGGGUAGACACGUCAGAUUCAAAAUCUGUUGUCGUUAGACAUAUCGGUUCGAGUCCGAUUGGGAGUA